AUUGAACGCUGGCGGCAUGCCUUACACAUGCAAGUCGAACGGCAGCACGGGUGCUUGCACCUGGUGGCGAGUGGCGCACGGGUGAGUAAUACAUCGGAACAUGUCCUGUAGUGGGGGAUAGCCCGGCGAAAGCCGGAUUAAUACCGCAUACGAUCUACGGGUGAAAGCGGGGGCACUUCGGGCCUCGCGCUUUAGGGUUGGCCGAUGGCGGAUUAGCUAGUUGGUGGGGUAAAGGCCUACCAAGGCGACGAUCAGUAGCUGGUCUGAGAGGACGACCAGCCACACUGGGACUGAGACACGGCCCAGACUCCUACGGGAGGCAGCAGUGGGGAAUUUUGGACAAUGGGCGAAAGCCUGAUCCAGCAAUGCCGCGUGUGUGAAGAAGGCCUUCGGGUUGUAAAGCACUUUUGUCCGGAAAGAAAUCCUUGGCCCUAAUACGGGCGGGGGAUGACGGUACCGGAAGAAUAAGCACCGGCUAACUACGUG
rnacentral:rRNA from 1 species